GACGAACGCUGGCGGCGUGCUUAACACAUGCCAGUCGAACGGAAAGGCCCUGCUUUUGUGGGGUGCUCGAGUGGCGAACGGGUGAGUAACACGUGAGUAACCUGCCCUUGACUUUGGGAUAACUUCAGGAAACUGGGGCUAAUACCGGAGAGGAGCUCCUGCUGCAUGGUGGGGGUUGGAAAGUUUCGGCGGUUGGGGAUGGACUCGCGGCUUAUCAGCUUGUUGGUGGGGUAGUGGCUUACCAAGGCUUUGACGGGUAGCCGGCCUGAGAGGGUGACCGGCCACAAUGGGACUGAGAUACGGCCCAGACUCCUACGGGAGGCAGCAGUGGGGAAUAUUGCACAAUGGGCGGAAGCCUGAUGCAGCAACGCCGCGUGCGGGAUGACGGCCUUCGGGUUGUAAACCGCUUUCGCCUGUGACGAAGCGUGAGUGACGGUAAUGGGUAAAGAAGCACCGGCUAACUACGUG
rnacentral:rRNA from 1 species